rnacentral:lncRNA from 1 species
ACUUCACAGAAUGGCUGAGGGUGUGGAUGAACGGUGGACGCUCCUGCCCGGCACCCAUGGGUGCUCACGACGAUUGUGUUUUACUGUUGGCUGCAAUAUGUCAUGACUUAUCAUGUGUGAUCCUUGAGUGAAUAGGCAGCUGCGAGCCUGAGCGGACUCCUAUGAACCAGUCUUCUCCAGCAAUAGACCCUCCUUCAACUCGUGGUAGCCUGUACGCCAAGGGUGACAGACUGGAAAGCAGGAUCCACCGGUUCAUCUAUGGGAAAAGGAGGGGGAAUGAGAUCAAGGAUUGAGGACGCUAAUGGAGAUGGGGUUUCACCAUGUUGCCCAGGCUGGUCUUGAACUCCUAGACUCAAGUGAUCCACUCGCCUUGGCCUCCCAAAAUGCUGGAAUUACAGUUUAUGUAUUGAAGAACCUGGGCCGUUUGACCCACGGAGUGGUUCUCAAUCUGGAUUUGGCUGAUUGGGCACUCAUGUUGCAGGUUAACAUGCUCCUCGGUUUUCUGACCUCCUAGAAGUUGGCAGCUGGAUCCAGAAGCUUCAACAGCCUCAGGUUCAGCCUCCUGGGCUGGCGGAUUGUAGGCCAAAGCUUGAUUUGGGUAUCAGCAAGUUAAAACUCAGGCACAUCCAUCUUUCCUGAUCCAAGUAAAUUCUAGUGGGCAAGAGGAAGAGAAGAGAAACUACAACAUCAUUAUCUUACUGCUGGAGGCAGCAGAUUACGGACCCCUGACUGUGAUGUGUCAAAUGCACUGUGUGACAACCAAGACCCUACACAUCUGGGGGGCACUUCAGGAUUCCUCCAGGCGGCAGUUGCUGGCCUAGACUCACUUCUUCAGGAGGGAGGUUCGCCCUGGAAAAGCUGAUUUGCAUUUCUGCUGGGAUCGAUGCCGUGGAGACUGAAUACAUUGAGGUCUCCAGGUGAAAGAAGAAAGCUUAACCUGGCUUCUGAAUUCCAAGAGCACACGGCAAAGUGAGCGAGCCCGGCACCCAGCUGUCGUCCACUUGCAUUUAGUGUAGCUGCCACCCAGCAAUUAACGCGCCUGGGCUCUCCUUUGGAAACCGAGCAGAGAAGAACAAUACCACAGCGAGUUCGCCUGGACCCGAAAGCAGGUAAAAGAAAUCAUUGAGUCCCCCGCCUUCAGAAGAGGGUGCAUUUUCAGGAGGAAGCGAUGGCUUCAGACAGCAUAUUUGAGUCAUUUCCUUCGUACCCACAGUGCUUCAUGAGAGAAUGCAUACUUGGAAUGAAUCCUUCUAGAGACGUCCACGAUGCCAGCACGAGCCGCCGCUUCACGCCGCCUUCCACCGCGCUGAGCCCAG